AGAGUUUGAUCCUGGCUCAGGAUGAACGCUGGCGGCGUGCCUAACACAUGCAAGUCGAGCGAUCUUCUUCGGAAGAGAGCGGCGGACGGGUGAGUAACGCGUGGGUAACCUGCCUCAUACACAUGGAUAACAUACCGAAAGGUAUGCUAAUACAAGAUAAUAUAAGAACUUCACAUGUAGUUCUUAUCAAAGCUUUUGCGGUAUGAGAUGGACCCGCGUCUGAUUAGCUAGUUGGUAAGGUAACGGCUUACCAAGGCGACGAUCAGUAGCCGACCUGAGAGGGUGAUCGGCCACAUUGGAACUGAGACACGGUCCAAACUCCUACGGGAGGCAGCAGUGGGGGAAUAUUGCACAAUGGGCGAAAGCCUGAUGCAGCAACGCCGCGUGAGCGAUGAAGGCCUUCSGGUCGUAAAGCUCUGUCCUCAAGGAAGAUAAUGACGGUACUUGAGGAGGAAGCCCCGGCUAACUACGUGCCAGCAGCCGCGGUAAUACGUAGGGGGCUAGCGUUAUCCGGAUUUACUGGGCGUAAAGAGCUCGUAGGCGGCUGGUCGCGUCUGUCGUGAAAACUUCCGGCUCAACCCGGGGGCUUGCGGUGGGUACGGGCCGGGCUAGAGUGCGGUAGGGGUAACUGGAACUCCUGGUGUAGCGGUGGAAUGCGCAGAUAUCAGGAAGAACACCGAUGGCGAAGGCAGGUUACUGGGCCGUUACUGACGCUGAGGAGCGAAAGCGUGGGGAGCGAACAGGAUUAGAUACCCUGGUAGUCCACGCCGUAAACGUUGGGCACUAKGUGUGAGGCUCCUUUCCGGGGGUUUUGCGCCGUAGCUAACGCAUUAAGUGCCCCGCCUGGGGAGUACGGCCGCAAGGCUAAAACUCAAAGGAAUUGACGGGGGCCUGCACAAGCGGCGGAGCAUGCGGAUUAAUUCGAUGCAACGCGAAGAACCUUACCAAGGCUUGACAUGUUAACCGUGGCUCUAGAGAUAGGGUUUACCCUUUUGGGUGGUUUUCACAGGUGGUGCAUGRUUGUCGUCAGCUCGUGUCGUGAGAUGUUGGGUUAAGUCCCGCAACGAGCGCAWCCCUUGUCCCGUGUUGCCAGCACGUUGUGGUGGGGACUCGCGGGAGACUGCCGGGGUCAACUCGGAGGARGGUGGGGGAUGACGUCAAAUCAUCAUGCCCCUUAUGUCUUGGGCUUCACGCAUGCUACAAUGGCCGGUACAGAGGGUUGCGAUACUGUGAGGUGGAGCUAAUCCCUUAAAGCUGGUCUCAGUUCGGAUUGGUGUCUGCAACUCGACACCAUGAAGGUGGAGUCGCUAGUAAUCGCAGAUCAGCAACGCUGCGGUGAAUACGUUCUCGGGCCUUGUACACACCGCCCGUCACGUCACGAAAGUUGGCAACACCCCAAGCCCGUGGCUCUACGGGGAGCGGUUAAAGGUGGGGCUAGCGAUUGGGACGAAGUCGUAACAAGGUAACCGUA
rnacentral:rRNA from 1 species